UGUUAGUCUGUCUCAGGCUGAGGGCUCCCGGGCUCCCUACUUCCAGGUCUGCACGUCUAUUGCUGGUCUCCUUCUUCAGUUUCCAUGUUGGCAGCCACAUCGCUGAGACUGCAGUGGUGCAGCAAAAGGUCACUUUAAUUAUUUUGGUGACUAUAUCUGGACCAUGCUGAAGGCCAAGGAAAUCUCCAGUGUGUGGACAUUUGAAGGACAAUGUCCUCCAUUGAAGCAGAGAUCAAAGAAGCUGUGAGGAAAGAAGGAGGCAGAGAGCAGAGCUGCAGCAGGCCAUUCAGAAAGAGGAACUUGAAGAGAACCCCUGGCUCAGGAGGAAGGAUGGCAAGGAACUGGAGAUAACCUGAGAACUUGAUGGUGUUUCAGUCUUCAGAGAGCUGAAGGAAAGAUCUUUUCACACAGAUGUAGCAGUGUACCUACUGAACCUCUCAAUGCAUGCAUCCUGAUGUUCACUAACAGAAUAUCAGCAUGGAAGCUUUGUCACUCUUUAUAAAUAGAUUGUUUCAUUCAUUCAUCCAUCCAUUUUUCAUUCAUUCA